rnacentral:lncRNA from 1 species
GAUCUGUUUAUUUCCACUUUACGUAAACUUGUAAAGAGAACUAUUAUUUCGUGCUCUCUCUCGCCAGGACGCUGCUGAGGACACGAGGAGUCGCCGACCCCAAGAAAAUCCAUGAUUUAGCGCGAAGACAAGCAGUCGGGGAGAGAAGGUGAGGGCGGGCCGUACCGCGGCCUCGAGGCCCCGCCUCCCGGGACCCCACCGCCCAGGCUCCGCCUCCUCGGGCCCCGCCCCGGCCCGCCGCCAUGUUGUUCCCUUGGCGCUGGACGUGAGCAGCCGGAGUUGCACCCGGGCAGCGCUACGGUCUCCUGGCCGCCUACCCCCGACCUUCUCUCCUCGUUGCACCCGGACGGGCCAGUCGGGAGCUCCCCGGGCGUCCUCUGUGUGGCCACGAAAUAAUGAUGCUGCUUGAACUGAACAAUUAAGGGUGCUAAAG